rnacentral:tRNA from 1 species
GCCCCGGUAGCUCAGCGGUAGAGCAACCGGCUGUUAACCGGGAGGUCGUGGGUUCAAAUCCCACCCGGGGCG